AGCAGCCGCGGUAAUUCCAGCUCCAAUAGCGUAUAUUAAAGUUGUUGCAGUUAAAAAGCUCGUAGUUGAAUUUCGAGACCGGCUUACUGGUCGUGCUAUUGUACGUACUGGUAUAAUCGGUUUCUCCUUUCUGACGAACUAUAAUGCCAUUAAUUUGGUGUUAUAGGGAAUCAGGACUGUUACUUUGAAAAAAUUAGAGUGUUUAAAGCAGGCUCACGCUUGAAUACAUUAGCAUGGAAUAACGGAAUAGGACGUUUGAUUCUAUUUUGUUGGUUUCUAGGAUCGACGUAAUGAUUAAUAGGGAUAGUUGGGGGCAUUAGUAUUCAAUUGUCAGAGGUGAAAUUCUUGGAUUUAUUGAAGACUAACUACUGCGAAAGCAUUUGCCAAGGAUGUUUUCAUUAAUCAAGAACGAAAGUUAGGGGAUCGAAGACGAUCAGAUACCGUCGUAGUCUUAACCAUAAACUAUGCCGACUAGGGAUCGGAUGAUGUUAAUUUUUAAUGUACUCAUUCG
rnacentral:rRNA from 1 species